rnacentral:rRNA from 1 species
AAAAACAUGUCCUUUUGAAUUUAAUUUAAGGUCUAACCUGCUCUAUGAAAAUUUAAAUGGCCGCGGUAUUUUGACCGUGCAAAGGUAGCAUAAUCAUUUGUUUUUUAAUUGAAAGCUAGAAUGAAGGGUUGAAUGAGAAAAUUACUGUCUCUGUUAAAAUUAAUUAUAAUUUUAUUUUUAAGUUAAAAAGCUUAAAUAAAUUUUGAAGACGAGAAGACCCUAUAGAGUUUAAUAAUUUUGUUAAGUUAAGAAAUUAAGUAUUAAUUUUAUUAAAUUUAAAAAUUUAUUUAGUUGGGGUGAUUUAAAAAUUAAAUUAACUUUUUAUUAUUUUUACAUUAAUUAAUGAUUAAUUGAUCCUUUUAUUAAGAUUAAAAGAAUAAAUUACCUUAGGGAUAACAGCGUAAUUUUUUUUUAGAGUUCAAAUUAAAAGAAAAGAUUGCGACCUCGAUGUUGGAUUAAAAUUAAUAUUUGGUGUAGCAGCUGGAUGGUUAGGUCUGUUCGACCUUUAAAAUUUUACUUGAUCUGAGUUCAAACCGGUGUAAGCCAGGUUGGUUUCUAUCUCAAAAAAGUUAAAAUAUUUUAGUACGAAAGGAUUGAAUAUUUGGUUAAUAAUUUUUAGUAUAGAAUAAUAUUAAUUAUUUUGGCAGAGUAGUGCAAUAGAUUUAGAAUCUUUUUAUGUAAAUUUUUUACAAAUAAUACUUGAUAUUAAAAGAUUUAGUUAUAUUGUUAAUUUCUAUAUUAAUUUUGGCUUUUUGUGUAAUGAUUGGUGUGGCAUUUUUAACUUUGAUGGAGCGUAAGGUUUUAGGAUAUAUUCAAAUUC